UGUUGGCAGCAUGGACAGGGGGAGCCAUGGAUACCCCAGGACUCUGAAACAGGGACCCCAGACAAUGCUGACCCCUGGGAUGCCUAUGAUGCCAAAGUGGUGAGCCCAGAGAAGGGGAACCUGCGGGAUUGCCAGGAGCCCCAGCAGCCCAGAGAGGGGAACACCAAUACAAACCUGACCCGCAGCAACCCAGACAGGGGGGCCUCUAGGAGCCCAAAGUGGAGAGACCAGAGAGGGGAAACUGAGGGUUGGGUAUUUUUGCUGCAUCUUGGUAAUUUGUGCAUUUUGAGGGACUGAAUCUUGGUGUUUUGGGGGUUUACAUAGGCACCAGAUUCCCAGUGACUUCUAGAGUGUGCAGGCAGAGGGGCCCAACAUUGGAACUGCAAUAGCUCAGGGCAAAGGUGACCAGGGUCAGAGAGAGACACCCCUCUGAGGACAAUGGUCUCACCAUAAGCAUUUGCAGGCUCAUGUGAAUGCAGCAGGCUUCAUUGGUAUCACCCAGUCCAGCUGCCCUUUUUUCCUUAUAUGUACUCCCCCUAGAAUGUUCUCCCAUCUCUUGUCCCCUAUUGGUCCCGGUUUACUGCAAUGCUCCGCCCCUGUUACCUCAUUGGUUCCCCAGUUGGCUGCCCCUCCUCUGCACCACUUGUGCUCAGUUCCCAUUGGCCCUUGGCCCUCAGACCCGCCCCUUCCCCCCUUAUCAAACUCUGUGUCCUCAGCCCCAUUUUGUCUCUGUCUUUGGAUCCCCUGCAUUGCAAUAAACUGUGUUUGGAGCUGUGCACACAGACCCGUCUCUGGCCUUGUCCGUCAGCAGGAUUUCUCAUUCCCAAACCUUGGCCGGAUGGAGGAGGAGGCUGUGAGGAAGAGGAAGAAGCCCUGGAACACGCAGGCAGAAAAGGAGCUGAGGAUGGAGAGCAGGGAGGAAAAAUCCCCACAGAAGAACCCCAUGGAAGAGGCUGUAUUGAGCAGCUCAACGGCACAGGAAUCCAACAGAGAGGAAAAGCCCCAGAGAUCCCACAGGACCAGGGGCUCCAAACCCAGCCCAGGUUGCUCUGAGGUGGACAGACCCACCCUGUGCCAGGAAGGUGGACAGAGCUUCAGGCAGAGCUGGUGGCCCAUGAGCAGCUUCAUGAUGCGGAGAAGCCCUAGAAGCGUUUGGAGUGUGGGAAGAGCUUCAGGAAGAGCAGCACCCUGAUCCGCCACCAGAUGAUCCACACUGGGGAAUGGGCCUACGAGUGUGGGGAGUGUGGGAAGGGCUUCAGGUGCGGCUCUGAGCUCGUCAUCCACCAACGCAUCCACACUGGGGAGAGACCCUAUGAAUGUCCCCAGUGUUGGAAGAGGUUUCACACCAGUUCCAAUCUCCUCCUUCGCGAGCGGAUUCACACCGAGGAGAGCCCCUUCCGCUGCCCCGACUGCGGGAAGGGCUUCAAGUACAACUCCCACCUCAUCACCCACCGGUGCAUCCACAGUGGGGAGAGGCCCUACGAGUGUCGCCAGUGUGGGAAGAGCUUCACCCAGAGCUGUAACCUGAACAGACACGUAUGGAAGCACCGGUAAGAGAAGCCUUGCAAAUGUCCCUGCAGGGAGAGCUUCAUGCCUGGCUCCAGCUUCAUACCCAAUUGGAGGACCCACAUUGGGAAAAGACCUGUGAUCCAUGUUCACUGUAAUCCAUGCUGGGAUGACACCUGUCCCUUCUCCUGCCCCUGGCAAUGACAUGAUGUGGGAUUGAAGAACAUGAGGAUCUGGCUGGGGCCAUGUCAUUAUAUUCACUCCCAUCUCAGGUCAUUGCCAGGGGCAGGAAAGGGUUCCUCUCUCCCUGAGGAGAAGGGUGUCCUUCCCAGGCAGGAGGAAAUAAGUGGCCAGGAUGA